AAAUUGAAGAGUUUGAUCAUGGCUCAGAUUGAACGCUGGCGGCAGGCCUAACACAUGCAAGUCGAACGGUAACAGGAAGCAGCUUGCUGCUUCGCUGACGAGUGGCGGACGGGUGAGUAAUGUCUGGGAAACUGCCUGAUGGAGGGGGAUAACUACUGGAAACGGUGGCUAAUACCGCAUAACGUCGCAAGAUCAAAGAGGGGGACCUUCGGGCCUCUUGCCAUCAGAUGUGCCCAGAUGGGAUUAGCUUGUUGGUGAGGUAACGGCUCACCAAGGCGACGAUCCCUAGCUGGUCUGAGAGGAUGACCAGCCACACUGGAACUGAGACACGGUCCAGACUCCUACGGGAGGCAGCAGUGGGGAAUAUUGCACAAUGGGCGCAAGCCUGAUGCAGCCAUGCCGCGUGUAUGAAGAAGGCCUUCGGGUUGUAAAGUACUUUCAGCGGGGAGGAAGGUGUUGCGGUUAAUAACCGCAGCAAUUGACGUUACCCGCAGAAGAAGCACCGGCUAACUCCGUGCCAGCAGCCGCGGUAAUACGGAGGGUGCAAGCGUUAAUCGGAAUUACUGGGCGUAAAGCGCACGCAGGCGGUCUGUCAAGUCGGAUGUGAAAUCCCCGGGCUCAACCUGGGAACUGCAUUCGAAACUGGCAGGCUUGAGUCUUGUAGAGGGGGGUAGAAUUC
rnacentral:rRNA from 1 species